rnacentral:snoRNA from 1 species
ACGACCUUACUUGAACAGGAUCUGUUCUAUAGGCUCGUACCGCUGCAUCCUUUACCAAUAAGGAGGCAAGCACUUCAGUCUGGUUGAUGCAUUCUGACCUCUGGGCCAGAGCGUGAUUAACGGCCUGGAUUCUUCUCUUGGUUGCAUCCGACGGCUGUAGAUGAUCGUUCCUGCCUGGGUCACACCAGCUCAGGGUGGCCCAGAGGUUGUCUGACAGACA